GAUUGUGUCGCCUGAUCAAUUUGAAUUGUAUCUCAUGAAUUUUCUCUCCUCUGAUUUUCUCUCUCUACUUGAUUUUAUGAAAUCGAUGAAGAAACUUCGGUCUUAUCACUUCGAAUCCGAUUUGAUCUGAUAGUCAAACUUUGGAUCGUUUAGGUCCUAAUUAGAUUUUGAUUAGAUGAAAUUAGAUGAUCGGACCCAAUCUAAACCAUUGAAAUAUGGUAUUCGUAUUCUUUUUAAUUAUUGAAAUUGAUUCUGUAUAGGAUUGUGGAUGUUUGAUCAUGGGAUAUCGCGAUAUGAUCUAUGAACAAAAUUUUUGAAAGAAAAAUUUAUAGAAUUAUGUGGAUUUAUUGG
rnacentral:lncRNA from 1 species